rnacentral:SRP_RNA from 1 species
CCGCGCCAAGCGGGGAGUUAGCGGUGCCCUGAACCUGCAAUCCGCUACAGCAGGGUGUGAUUCCCGUUUCGAGGCAAGAACCUGUGAAGUCUGGAAUCGGUAAGGAGCGUUGAUGGCCGGGUCCCGUGCAAUCGGAGGCCGUGAACCAUGUCAGGUCCUGACGGAAGCAGCAUUAAGCGGAUCAUCCGGUGUGCCGCGGGCAUGCCUGACCGGAGCCGCCUGCCGCAUGUGCCGUUCGGGGGUUCCUUGUCGAAAAUCGGGUGCGCG